CUCUUUUGUUUGCGCUCUAGGAAAUUAAGGCUCAUAAAGUGACAUAAGGAGUAUUCCCUUUUUUUGUAUCCUCUGGAAGAAUUUUAAUAAGAUUGGAGUGAUUUUCCUUUCAAGCAUCAGUAGAAUUCACCAGUAAAACUGUCUGGAGCUGGGUGCAGUGGCUUACACCUAUAAUCUCAACUACUUGAGAGGCUCAAGCAGGAGGAUCACUUGAGGCAAGGAAUUCAAGACCAGACUGAGCAACAAGACUCCAUCUCCAAAAAACAAAAACCAAACAAAACAGAACAGAACAGCACAGCAAAACCAUCUCGGCUGGGUAUUUUCCUUGUGUGAAGUUUGUAAAAUACGACUUUGGUUUAUUUAAUAGUUAUGAAACUGUUCAAUUAUUUUCUUUCUCCUUGAGUCAGUUUAAUAAAAUAAUAGGUUCUAGAAUUUUUUCCAUGUCAUCUAAGGGUUUAAGCUCAUUGGCAUAGUUAUUGAUUGUAUUAUCUUCUUAAUCUCUGCUGUAUUUAUAGCUCUUUUUUCAUUUAUAAUAUUACUUGUGGUAGACUGUGUUAUUGCUCUCCAAAUAUUUGUUCCUUUUCUUAUAAGAGGACUAUACAUUUCUACCUAAUGCUAUGUGACUUGAGGUGACUCUUGUGACAGAAGAAUGCAUACCCAACCAGCUGUCAAUGGGCUUGAUCAUCGUACAUGAACAGAAACUUUAAAAGAUAUCGUACAUGUUUCUACCAGCUUUCUUGCUCUUUUCUCUCUUCCAUGAGAAUGGCAUGUGCGUGAUUGGGGACCCCAGAAUGAAGAAUACAUGUGGAGGAGAGCCCAGCAGAGUCAACAUAUAUAGCAAAUAAGAAAUAAACACAGAGAUUUGGGAUUUUGUAGUUACCAAAGCAUAUUAUAGUGAAAACUGACUGAUAAAAAUUAUUUGCCUUUAACUUCUUAUCAUUUUUUCUUAGAUAAAUCAUUGCAGAGGUUUAUUUAUUUUGUUGGUAUUUUUCAAAGAACCAACUUUGUCCUUGUUGAUUCUCCCUGUUUUCUAUUUCGUUUCUAUCUCUAGUUCUGCUCUUAUAAUUAUCCCCUUCCUUCCAUUUUCUUCGAGUUUAUUCUGUUAUUUCUUAAAGUUGUGUGUUUAGUUUAUUAAUUUUCAGCCAUGUUUUUCUUGUCUUUAAAAACAUUUAAGGCAGUAAAUUUCCUUCAAAGCACU
rnacentral:lncRNA from 1 species